rnacentral:tRNA from 1 species
GGGCCGGUAGCGUAACGGCCAUCGCGCUUCCAUGGCAUGGAAGAGACUAGGGGUUCAAAUCCCCUCCGGUCCA